rnacentral:rRNA from 1 species
GACGUAGGGCGCGAGCGUUGUCCGGAUUUAUUGGGCGUAAAGAGCUCGUAGGCGGCUUGUCGCGUCGACUGUGAAAUCCCGCGGCUCAACUGCGGGUCUGCAGUCGAUACGGGCAGGCUAGAGUUCGGUAGGGGAGACUGGAAUUCCUGGUGUAGCGGUGAAAUGCGCAGAUAUCAGGAGGAACACCGGUGGCGAAGGCGGAUCUCUGGGCCGAUACUGACGCUGAGGAGCGAAAGCGUGGGGAGCGAACAGG